UGGAAUUCUUCCCUCUUUUGAAAUGUUUAUGGGUCAGCCCUCAAACUAAAUACAGGGCAAGUUGAGACAUGCUGGGAACAUCAACACACGUCCUAUUUUUAGGGGAGGAACUGAGGCCUCUCAGUUGCAUUUCUGCCAAGGUCAGCCUGGCUGCAUGGGAAUACCUUGAGAGCUGACAUCUGGUGUGGCUGUUGGCCAUGAUGGCUGUCCCAGCCUCCCAAAGUCUGGGCUUGACUUAUUCUUGUGUUUGCUUCCCAGAGGAAGAUGGAAAGCCAUUUGAUGCUUCUCUAACAAUCCUCAUCUCCUUGGUAUCGACAUCGAUAAACAAUGAAAUCACAGGAUCCAGAUUAAGUGAAUCUUUCUUCCCAGCAUGUGGUACAACACAGUUUGGAAAUAAAAACAAAUCAAAUGCUUGGGAAGCAAAAUGAAUGCAAAUUAAGGUCUGGUGAAAGCUGUCAGCGCCCAAGCACUUGCCUUGUUUUUGUCUCCCCUUUAAAUGAAAUGAACAUUGUUUUCU
rnacentral:lncRNA from 1 species